rnacentral:rRNA from 1 species
UUAAUUGAAGAGUUUGAUCAUGGCUCAGAUUGAACGCUGGCGGCAGGCCUAACACAUGCAAGUCGGGCGGUAACAGGGAGAAGCUUGCUUCUCUGCUGACGAGCGGCGGACGGGUGAGUAAUGUAUGGGGAUCUGCCUGAUGGCGGGGGAUAACUACUGGAAACGGUAGCUAAUACCGCAUAAUGUCUUCGGACCAAAGCGGGGGACCUCCGGGCCUCGCGCCAUCAGAUGAACCCAUAUGGGAUUAGCUAGUAGGUGAGGUAACGGCUUACCUAGGCGACGAUCCCUAGCUGGUCUGAGAGGAUGAUCAGCCACACUGGGACUGAGACACGGCCCAGACUCCUACGGGAGGCAGCAGUGGGGAAUAUUGCACAAUGGGCGCAAG